AGAGGAGUGCCACAGUGCUUAGUAGCGGGACCACAUAGGGUAACCAUGAGUGUCAACCAAAGUCUGCUAAAUAGUUAGAUACAGUUAUACUUGUACCAGAAUGUUAUUUUGUCUGACAGACAAUUUUACACCAUUUAAGUUGCACACAUGGAACUUGCUAUGAUGUCAAUUUCAAAGGACAAGAUUCAUGGUACAGGCGUUUGGCUGAAGAUCUUGGAAGAGACUAUUGCGCACUUUGCGUGAAAGAGUCAGCUCUUGGAAAUGGGUGCGGGAGGGGCACACAUUGUCUAUUCUGAAAUGGUUAAAACAAUUCGCAUGCAGCGGCCAGUCUCAAAUGACGACUUCUGACUGAAGCAUAAAGUUGUGGGAGCUGCACAUAUAGGCCAACUGCACAUGAAACAAGUGAAUCCGACAAGUCAUGAAGUUAUGCAGAUAACACCGCAUCUGAGAAAGAACUUGUUACCCAUCACCCCCGACUCAACCCAAUACAGCUUUGAAAAAGCACAGCCUGUGAGGCAGUUUGGGCACUUCCCUUUGGACAACAGCCCUGAGACCAAUAUAAAUCUGACAAUAACUGACUAAUUAACACAAUAGACAACAAUACAGUUUCUUCCGGAGUUUUACUGACUUUGUGAGUACUAAAUCCAACAAACAUCUCCUCUGCAGUAGCAUAGAGCCAGCAUGCUCCCUUCCCUUCCCAGCUAUGGCUCCCCCUAGCCGUGCUUCCAUAUUUCCUUGUUUAUGCACAGCAUAAUGGCCUGACCCUCCCUUCUCUAUAACAUUAUACAGACACCACCUAGCACCUGAAAACCUAAAUUUUUCUGGAUAUAUUUUGAGAUUAGAGUCUCUAUAUACCCCAUAUUCAUCCAAUGGCACCCUAACCAUAGUGGAACAGAGCUUUUCUUACCUUUACAAAGUGCCUCUCUCUAUACCUCUCUCUCUCCAAAGUCCCAACCUCGAUAGCCUCCUUCUUCUUCCCAGAAAUCCCUGCAAAAGGGGCACUUCCAUGUAAGUUGAAUGUGUAGGGGUGCUCAUUUUGGACUCAACCAUUACUGUAAAAUACAGAAGACCCCAGAUGCUCAGAAAGGGCCUAUUUGGGUACAUAGUCCCACAGGGGCCAACAUGUCCCUUUCAAACGGUAUGACACUGGCCCUAUAGUAAAUACCCCUCCCCUAACUCCCUCUGUCCUCCCCCCCAAUGGCUUUCACAUCAUAUGGCCCAUCCACCAGUCAUACAGCCAAUGCUGAGAAGCAAUUGUAACGUGCUGCACAAAUGAGCUCUCAGAGAGUUUCCACUGGGUUUUUGUGGAUUCACCAAGCCUUGGGGCCUCUUAGAGCUGCCCAAAAUCAUUGCUCGGGGAUAUUUUGGACACACAGAGACCCCUUUUUAUUGAAACAGACCAUUUGAAUACAGAGGAAAAUAUUCUGGUGUGAAUAUGAUGCAAUCAAGCGAAAAGAGAGCACUGUCUCCAAGUGUCCCUCUCCAAAAGUGCAGAGAUGUAUCCACUGGGACAAGGAGCUUUCCACUCACACAAUGAGAAGGGGUGGCGGAUGACAAAUGCCAAUUUUGGUGUCCGCGCUUUGAAAGCCCAACAGGGGCGUCAUGUACUCCAAAAAUCUGAGGGGGCACAAAGUAUGUGAGGAUGGCUUGGCUCCUGUUCAUUAGUUGGAGAAUUUUGCAUUUUUCAAACACAUGAAACAUAUUUGUCUUGCUAUCUACAGCCAUAAUCAUUACGCUUAAUUCUAUGUUAAACACUUUUGUUUUUCUGCAUAUCUAAGCAUACCUUUUGAGCUGUCUGUAUACUCCUGAUUAGUGGUUAUUCUUUGUUAUUCUUAUUGUUUUUUUAAAUUCAGAUUGUGUGUCACUUGUCUACACAGAAUACCCCGUAAUGUCAAAGUGGAAUUGUGUUUUUAGAAAUGUUAACAAAUUAAUAAAAAAUGUAACUUGAGUCAAUAAGUAUGCAAUCUUUUUGUAAUGGCAAGCCUAAAAAUGUGCUUAACAAGUCACAUAAUAAGUUGUCUGGACUCGCUCUGUAUACAAUAAUACUGUUUAACAUGACUACCCAAUCUCUGUACCUCACACAUACAAAUAUCUGUAAGGUCCCUAAGUCGAGCAGUGAAUUUCAAGCACAGAUUCAACUACAAAGACAAGCGGGGAAGAAGGGUAAAAAAUAAAAAUAAAAGCAGACAUUGAGCAUUGUGCAGUUAUUAAUUGUACACAUUAGAUGGUGUAUCAAUACACCCAGUCACUACAAAGAUACAGGCAUCCUUCUUAAAUCAGUUGCCGGAGAGGAAGGACACCACUCUUGGAUUUCACCAUGAGGCCAAUGGUGACUUUAAAACAGUAACAGAGUUUAGUGGCUGUGAUAGGAGAUAACUGAGGAUGGAUCAACAACAUCAACAUAAAAUACAGAGUGAAAAGAAGGAAGUCUGUACAGAAUAACACAUAUUCCAAAACAUGCAUCCUGUUUGCACUAAAGUAAUACUGCAAAAAAUGUGGCAAAUACAUACACUUUUUGUCCUGAAUACAAAGUGUUAUGUUUGGGCAAAUCCAACACAUCACUGAGUACCACUCUUCAUAUUUUCAAGAAUGGUGGUAGCUGCAUCAUGUUAUGGGUUGGAAAGAACUAGGGAGUUUUUUUUGGGAUAAAAAGAAACGGAAUAGAGCUAAGCACAGGCAAAAUCCUUGAGGAAAACCUAGUUCAGUCUGCUUUCCAACAGACACUGGGAGACAAAUUAAAAUUUCUACAGGACAAUAAUCUAAAACACAUGGUCAAAUAUGUACUGGAGUUGCUUACCAAGACGUCAUUGAAUGUUCCUGAGUGGCUUAGUUACAGUUUUGACUUAAAUCAUCAGCUUGACAAUCUAUGGCAAGACUUGAAAAUCGCAGUCUAGCAGUGAUCAAUAACCAACUUGAUAGAGCUUGACACAUUUUUUAAAGAAUAAUGGGCAAGUAUUGUACAAUCCAGGUGUGCAAAUCUCUUAGAGGCUUUCCCAGAAAGACUCACAGCUGUAAUCCCUGCCCAAGGUGAUUCUAACAUGUAUUGACUCAGGGAGUUUAAUACUUAUCUAAUCAAGAUAUAUUAGUGUUUUAUUUUCCAUUAAUACAAAAUAUAUAUACUUUUUCUUCCACUGACAUAACAGGGUAUUUUGUAUAUAUCAUUGACCAAAAAAUGACAAUGAAAUCAAUUUGAAUCCCACAAGUUCAGUGUGAAUACCAUCUGAAGGUACUGUACAUACUGUAUAUAAUGUAAAUAUCUUUAAACAGGACAAAUCUGAGGGGAGCAUGUUCCCCAUUGACCCAUUUGGGCAUGACACCUCUGCUAUUUAUGUUUGUGUUAUUGUUAUAAUAAACAAUGGGAAAAUAAAUACACCAGAGCAAUAUUUCAGGUUAAGGUUCUUCUGUCCAUGAUAUGCCAUACAUGUUGAUGUUUCUAUGUUCAUUUGUACGUUUUCUAUAAGCACUAGGGCUAGGCAAUGGAAGAUGGAGCCUACAUGCAAUAGAUUAUUACAAAUUACAUACACUGGCGAUACUCUAUGCUGCUUUAGUGAUGAUAUUCAAUGCAACAUUGUACAGAGAUUUUUUUUUGUUAAUAAAAUUUAAUAUUUCAAGA